GAGUUUGAUUAUGGCUCAGGAUGAACGCUAGCGGGAGGCCUAACACAUGCAAGCCGAGCGGGAUUUGUUGGUUAGCUUGCUAACUAACAAUGAGAGCGGCGUACGGGUGCGUAACACGUGUGCAACCUGCCUUUAUCUGGGGGAUAGCCUUUCGAAAGGAAGAUUAAUACCCCAUAAUAUAUUGAUUGGCAUCAGUUAAUAUUGAAAGCUCCGGCGGAUAGAGAUGGGCACGCGUAAGAUUAGCUAGUUGGUGAGGUAACGGCUCACCAAGGCUGCGAUCUUUAGGGGGCCUGAGAGGGUGAUCCCCCACACUGGUACUGAGACACGGACCAGACUCCUACGGGAGGCAGCAGUGAGGAAUAUUGGACAAUGGGUGAGAGCCUGAUCCAGCCAUCCCGCGUGAAGGACUAAGGACCUAUGGUUUGUAAACUUCUUUUAUACAGGGAUAAACCU
rnacentral:rRNA from 1 species